UACGAAGGGGGCUAGCGUUGUUCGGAAUUACUGGGCGUAAAGCGUGCGCAGGCGGCUUCUCAAGUCAGGGGUGAAAGCCCAGAGCUCAACUCUGGAAUUGCCUUUGAGACUGAGUGGCUUGAGUACGGGAGAGGUGAGUGGAAUUCCCAGUGUAGAGGUGAAAUUCGUAGAUAUUGGGAAGAACACCGGUGGCGAAGGCGGCUCGCUGGCCCGUAACUGACGCUCAUGCACGACAGCGUGGGGAUCAAACAGG
rnacentral:rRNA from 1 species